rnacentral:rRNA from 1 species
UACGCAGGCGGAAAAUUAAGUCAGUAGUGAAAUCCUGCAGCUUAACUGUAGAACUGUUAUUGAUACUGGUUUUCUUGAAUGUAGUUGAGGUAGGCGGAAUGUGUAAUGUAGCGGUGAAAUGCUUAGAUAUUACACAGAACACCGAUUGCGAAGGCAGCUUACUAAGCUACUAUUGACGCUGAGGUACGAAAGCGUGGGGAGCGAACAGGAUUAGAUACCCUGGUAGUCC